GACGAACGCUGGCGGCGUGCCUAAUACAUGCAAGUUGAGCGCUGAAGGUUGGUACUUGUACCAACUGGAUGAGCAGCGAACGGGUGAGUAACGCGUGGGGAAUCUGCCUUUGAGCGGGGGACAACAUUUGGAAACGAAUGCUAAUACCGCAUAAAAACUUUAAACACAAGUUUUAAGUUUGAAAGAUGCAAUUGCAUCACUCAAAGAUGAUCCCGCGUUGUAUUAGCUAGUUGGUGAGGUAAAGGCUCACCAAGGCGAUGAUACAUAGCCGACCUGAGAGGAGGAUGAGCCAAACUGGAAAUGAGACACGGUCCAGAAUCCUACGGGAGGCAGCAGUGGGGAAUAUUGGAAAAUGGGCGAAAGCCUGAUGCAGCGAUACCGCGUGGGUGAAGAAGGGCUUCGGGUUGUAAAGCCCUUUUGUUGGGAAAGAAAAGAAGGAGGUUAAUACACCGAUGUUCUGACGGUACCUAAAGAAUAAGCACCGGCUAACUUCGUG
rnacentral:rRNA from 1 species